rnacentral:rRNA from 1 species
GAUGAACGCUGGCGGCGUGCCUAAUACAUGCAAGUCGAGCGAACAGAUGAGGAGCUUGCUCCUCUGACGUUAGCGGCGGACGGGUGAGUAACACGUGGAUAACCUACCUAUAAGACUGGGAUAACUUCGGGAAACCGGAGCUAAUACCGGAUAAUAUAUUGAACCGCAUGGUUCAAUAGUUAAAUACGGUUUUUCUGUCACUUAUAGAUGGAUCCGCGCCGCAUUAGUUAGUUGGUAAGGUAACGGCUUACCAAGGCAACGAUGCGUAACCGACCUGAGAGGGUGGUCGGCCACCCUGGAAGGGAGACACGGUCCCGACUCCUACGGGAGGCAGCAGUCGGGAAUCUUACGCAAUGGGCGAAAGCCUGACAGAGCAACGCCGCGUGAGUGAUGAAGGUCUUCGGAUCGUAAAACUCUGUUAUUAGGGAAGAACAAAUGUGUAAGUAACUAUGCACGUAUUGACGGUACCUAAUCAAAAAGCCACGGCUAACUACGUG